rnacentral:rRNA from 1 species
GACGAACGCUGGCGGCGUGCUUAACACAUGCAAGUCGAACGGAAAGGCCCUGCUUUUGUUGGUUUCUCGAUUGGCGAACGGGUGUGUAACACGUGAGUAACCUGCCCUUGACUUUGUGAUAACUUCAGGAAACUGGGGCUCAUACCGGAUAUGAGCUCCUGCUGCAUGUUGGUGGUUGGAAAGUUUCGGCGGUUGUGGAUGGACUCGCGGCUUCUCAGCUUGUUGGUGUGGUAGUUGCUUACGAAGGCUUUGACGGGUAGCCGGCCUGAGAGGGUUACCGGGGACAAGGGGACUGAGAGACGGCGCAGAAGGGAACGGGAGGCAGUAGGGGGGAAUAUUGCAGAGUGGGGGGAAGUGUGAUGCAGAAACGUUGCGUGCGGGAUGAUGGCUUUCGGGGUGUAAACCGCUGUCGCAUGUGACGAAGCGGGAGUGACGGUAAUGGGUAAAGAAGCACCGGCUAACUACGUG